rfam:Coriobacteriales bacterium DNF00809 genomic scaffold Scaffold191, whole genome shotgun sequence.
GGGGAUGUAGCUCAGUUGGGAGAGCAUCACGUUCGCAACGUGGGGGUCGUGGGUUCGAAUCCCAUCAUCUCCA